AAGUUUUAAACAAUUUUAAAAAUAAAAUUAUACAACGCACUCCUACCAUGCGUUGCUAAGAAACAAACGGCAUAAGAUGUAAGAAAAGCCACAACAAUUAUAGAAAUAACAUAACACCACAAGCAACAGUAGAAUUUAUCCCCUGUUUAAAAAAACCUCAGUUUAACACAGACCAUUUAACAUCCACCACUAUUAUUUUACAAUGUUACAUCCCUUUAAAAAACAAAUUGCAACACAAGACUACAAACUGCUUAAGACUUAUUUCUGAACAUACAUCAAUUAUUACCCAAAGCUAAAUAAACAACAAAUAAGUAAUUUCUGCCGCAAAAUCGAAUCUGUGCAGUAGAAGAAAAGUAAAAUACAAAUUUUGAGUUAGAAAUACGAAAACAAAUUUAUGACCUCCAUAUUAACUUAGCUUCACAAUCAAAGCAAUCUUAGAAAAA